rnacentral:rRNA from 1 species
GAACGAUGACUCUCUAGCUUGCUAGAGAUGAUUAGUGGCGGACGGGUGAGUAACAUUUAGGAAUCUACCUAGUAGUGGGGGAUAGCUCGGGGAAACUCGAAUUAAUACCGCAUACGACCUACGGGUGAAAGGGGGCGCAAGCUCUUGCUAUUAGAUGAGCCUAAAUCAGAUUAGCUAGUUGGUGGGGUAAAGGCCCACCAAGGCGACGAUCUGUAACUGGUCUGAGAGGAUGAUCAGUCACACCGGAACUGAGACACGGUCCGGACUCCUACGGGAGGCAGCAGUGGGGAAUAUUGGACAAUGGGGGCAACCCUGAUCCAGCCAUGCCGCGUGUGUGAAGAAGGCCUUUUGGUUGUAAAGCACUUUAAGCAGGGAGGAGAGGCUAAUGGUUAAUACCCAUUAGAUUAGACGUUACCUGCAGAAUAAGCACCGGCUAACUCUGUGCCAGCAGCCGCGGUAAUACAGAGGGUGCGAGCGUUAAUCGGAAUUACUGGGCGUAAAGCGAGUGUAGGUGGCUCAUUAAGUCACAUGUGAAAUCCCCGGGCUUAACCUGGGAACUGCAUGUGAUACUGGUGGUGCUAGAAUAUGUGAGAGGGAAGUAGAAUUCCAGGUGUAGCGGUGAAAUGCGUAGAGAUCUGGAGGAAUACCGAUGGCGAAGGCAGCUUCCUGGCAUAAUAUUGACACUGAGAUUCGAAAGCGUGGGUAGCAAACAGG